rnacentral:rRNA from 1 species
UACGAGAGGCCCAAACGUUAUUCGGAAUUACUGGGCUUAAAGAGUUCGUAGGCGGCGCAGAAAGUAGGGUGUGAAAGCCCUCGGCUCAACCGAGGAAUUGCGCUCUAAACUACUGUGCUUGAGGAAGCUAGAGGUGAGCAGAACUGAUGGUGGAGCGGUGAAAUGCGUUGAUAUCAUCAGGAAUACCGGAGGCGAAGGCGGCUCACUGGGGCUUUUCUGACGCUGAGGAACGAAAGCCAGGUAGCGAACGGGG